GCGAACGCUGGCGGCAGGCCUAACACAUGCAAGUCGCACGAACCUUUCGGGGUUAGUGGCGGACGGGUGAGUAACACGUGGGAACGUGCCUUUAGGUUCGGAAUAACUCAGGGAAACUUGUGCUAAUACCGAAUGUGCCCUUCGGGGGAAAGAUUUAUCGCCUUUAGAGCGGCCCGCGUCUGAUUAGCUAGUUGGUUGAGGUAAUGGCUCACCAAGGCGACGAUCAGUAGCUGGUCUGAGAGGAUGAUCAGCCACAUUGGGACUGAGACACGGCCCAAACUCCUACGGGAGGCAGCAGUGGGGAAUCUUGCGCAAUGGGCGAAAGACUGACGCAGCCAUGCCGCGUGAAUGAUGAAGGUCUUAGGAUUGUAAAAUUCUUUCACCGGGGACGAUAAUGACGGUACCCGGAGAAGAAGCCCCGGCUAACUUCGUG
rnacentral:rRNA from 1 species